rnacentral:tRNA from 1 species
GCCUGGCUGGCUCAACUGGAAGAGCAUGAGACUCUUGAUCUUGGGGUCAUGAGUUCAAGCCCCACACUGGGUA